AGUAUAGUGUUGCCGUGCCCAACAAAAAAACAGGCUGAUUUACAGGUCUAACUGAUAGAGGUAAGACCUAGUCAUAAUUUUCACAUAACUAAACUUGUUAGAUGGGAAAAGAAGAGUAAAUAGAUAAACAUGUGAUAUAGUAUGCAAAUCAUUUGGGUUAGCUGCACCCGUUAUUAUAUAUCAUGUUGAACCAAUACGUCUAUUCGUUUAGCUUUGCUAUAGGCUUGAGAAGCCUGGCACACAUCAGAUUCCAGUUUUUCUGUAAGGAGUUAGGGUGGGUGCUUAGGUAACCAGUCACGUAUCUACUUUAAUAAGGGUAUUAACCCUAGCGAAAGCACAGCGUUAUAGCUUUCCACUGGUGUCUGAGUUACUAUACUACUACAUUAAGUACGAAUAUAUAUUGGCACGUAUGCUAGGGACACAGAGUAUAUUUAUCAAGGAUAUAUCAUACAUACUUUUUCCUCCUGCACUGUGAAUGUUUACAUGGUGUGUUCAAUAAAAACAUGGCAACAUUUCAUUUUUCGUGUGUUAUUUGUUUAAGCAGACUGUGAUUGUAUAUUGUUGUGACUUAGAUGAUGAUCAGAUCACAUUUUAUAACCAAUUUGUGCAGAAAUCCAUAUCAUUCCAAAGGGUUCACAUACUUUUUCUUGCAACUGUAUUGCGUUAUUAGUAGUUGAUACCACUAGGUUUGAGAGUGUUCAGGUAAUGAGCUGGUAGCCUAGGUCGUCGGGUAGAAGGAGCCGAAUCGUGAUCUCAUUGAGUUCAGCCAAUGCCCUUCAUAUAUUGGACAGCGUCUUGGCAAGCGAUGCCCCUCC